CCCUCCUCCUCGUGUGGGAAGUGCUGGGGGUUUUCACUCUCUGCCGCAGGAAAAUGAGAAGUUAAAAGUCAUGGGAAGAUAAGUAAUUUAUGCUUUUUAUCUUUACUAGAGAGACAGACCAAGCUACAGCCAGGGAGCUGAGUGUUACCCUCUGAUGUGAGCACCACGUCACUGACUCCUCAUUGUGAGGGACAAUCUGUGAUCAACAUGCUAAAAACGAGUCAUUUAGGGAUUUCUCUUGAGGAGUGUCCUGUGUUGCCUUGAGUCUUACACUGAGAUAUUUGCUUCUCCAGGAAAAACUGUGAUUUGAUGUGUCAGAAGCUCUUGACCAGCACGUUAAGCAGGACCUGGGGGCUUCCUAAAUUGCAGUGGGGAAACUGAAGACCACAGUAAGACAGUUGCAACGACUUCAGCAAAACUUGUCACUGUCCCUAGAAAUGUGAUGGCAGAGAGGUUUUCUUGCUUUGAAUCCUGUUCCUCAGGAGCAGGAGGAUGAGGCAGCCCAGUGCCAGCAGCGUGCCCCUCAUGCUGCCAGCGUGGUGCUUUCCCAGCUGGGCAGAAGGGAUCCAGUGGGGAAUUCUGCUGGAGCCUUCCCAUUUAUACCGACGGUCUGUCCACUCCACUGAGUACCAGCUCGCUCUGAGUGCGGUGAUGUUUGCUGAAAACAAAUAAACUGCUUGUUCCUGGUCAUGUUUGAAGUGCUUUGGGAUCUCAGUCAGGUUAAAUUAAAGAUUUCUGAAGUCUAUGGAGCUGCUUUACUGGAAACAGCUGAGGUGUGACAGGUUUAUGGGGUAUGGAUUAGGUGGAUGCUGUUAAUGUGUGUUCUGCCAGGAAAAAAGGGUGUUUGUGACAUGGAUUCUACUUAAUGUGUUUGGUGUCUGUGUCCCCCACACACCUGAUGCCCAGUCCUGAUGGGGGUCAUCUUCUGUUGGUGACCCCAAAGAAAAGUGGAAUGAACUCCUUCCCAUGCUCCUCUCCACUCCCCCAGCUUGUUUACAGCUAAACUGUGGAUGCUUGUGGGAAAAAACCUGGCAGGGCCAAGCACUGCUGAGAAAAUCCACCCUAGAGGGGGUUUGUGGCAUGUAUUGGUAUCCCAGCCAGGAUUCUCUGCUCUGGGAGCAGAAGUUCAUUGGUUCCUAAUGUUGGCUUCAGUGUAAUUUAGGUUUCUAUAAAAAAAUCCUUGCACUAAAAUGCCUCUAGAAGGGAAUUUCUCAAUUAUAUGGUCAGAAAUUCCAUGUUUAAGGACAAAAUACACGAGGAACUUGGGAGAUAUUGAGCCCUUCCUAGCACCACAAGGAUUUUCCAGCACCAUAAUGUUACAGGUAAUUAAUUUUCACUGUGUGCAGGGUGGGUUAUAGAAAGCUUGUUUUUUAGCAGUAAGCAAACAGUCAUGGGCAUGGAUGGAAAAUAUAGGGUGUAUUUUGGUCAGAUUUAUAAUAAUGAUUAACAAAUGAUUCACCUUAACGAGUGUCUUUUCUUUGAAACGCACCAAGAUGAAUUUUAUGUCAGGGGGAAGUUUGCAUGUCCCCUGUCAGAUGUGCAGCACACAGAGGGAAGUGGAUGUUAAUGCAGCACAAAUGAUCCUUAAUUCAGUGAUGUGUUUGAGUGCUGGGUGUUUAUUGUCAGGAUAAUGAGAGAGGUUGGAUGUUCUGGAUCUAUAAAAUACACCUUUCCAUAUGUAAUGUGCUCAGCAGCAGGGCUACAACUUGUGCUCAUUCACCCCUCUGGAGAUGCUCCCCAUUUCCUGUGGGCAGGAAGUGCCUGGAAAUCCUCCAGCUGUGUAAUUUUUUUCUGUUUCUUCUUCUCUGCCCCCCAAAAAACCCACUCUAGGCAGCCAAACACUGCCUGCUUUCAACCCAAGGACAAAAGAGCUUGGGAGGAAAAGCAGGAAGGGAUAAAGGCCCCAGGAGAAAAGACUAUGGAGACCUUUCCAUGAUCAGGAUUCCAGAGAA